AAGUCGUAACAAGGUUUCCGUAGGUGAACCUGCGGAAGGAUCAUUAUUGAAUGAACUUGGAGUUGGUUGUCGCUGGCUGUCUUAUUUGGCAGCAUGUGCACGCCUUCUCUUUUCAUCCACACACACCCCUGUGCACUUGUGAGACUGGAGACCGGUAAAAAAAAGUCUUCAGUCUGCUAAAUCCAUAUACAAACCCAUUUAAUUGAACUGAAUGUAAAUUGAUGUAACGCAUCUUUAAACUAAGUUUCAACAACGGAUCUCUUGGCUCUC
rnacentral:misc_RNA from 1 species